AUUAUUCUUAACGACUCUCGRCAACGGAUAUYUAGGCUCUCGCAUCGAUGAAGAACGYAGCRAAAUGCGAUACUUGGUGUGAAUUGCAGAAUCCCGCGAAUCAUCGAGUUUUUGAACGCAAGUUGCGCCCGAAGCCAUUCGGCCGAGGGCACGUCUGCC
rnacentral:rRNA from 1 species